rnacentral:rRNA from 1 species
CGGCGGACGGGUGAGUAACGCGUAGGAAUGUGUCUUGAGGUGGGGGACAACCCCGGGAAACUGGGGCUAAUACCGCAUAUGAGCUGAGGCUCAAAGCCGUAAGGCGCCUUGAGAGCAGCCUGCGUCCGAUUAGCUUGUUGGUGGGGUAAUGGCUUACCAAGGCGACGAUCGGUAGCUGGUCUGAGAGGACGAUCAGCCACACUGGGACUGAGACACGGCCCAG